CGGGGCGUGGCGCCCGCUGUCCUUGCAGGGCUGCGGCUCCCCUCCGCCGGCGGGUCCCCGGCUUUCGCUGGUAGCUGAGGUUCUGAGAAGCGUCCGGGAAGAUGCGGCAGGUUCCCUGGCAAAGUUAGUUGAGAGGCCCAGCAGACUGAUGAUGUAAUAAUCUUCAGGAAAGAAGAGAAGAAAAUGUCUGAGAGAAACAAGAAAAAGAGCCAGUCCAAGACCUGCAUGUGGAAACAGCUAGGGAGAUAGGUCUCCCAAAUCCCCAGUGAUGUGCAAAAAGGACCGUGCAAAAGAUGGAAUACUGGGUUUAUAGAAGGAGAAGGCCAAAUACCAUUCCUGAGAGGAUGAGAGUCCAAGCAGUUGUUCUUAUUUAUUCCACAAAUUUUAGUGAGUGUUGCUUUGUAUUGUGCCAACUGUUGGAUAUACAGUGGUGGAAAAGCAGACGUUAUUCUUGCCUUCUUGUGGGAAUCAGUCUGAUAGAAGAGAUAUACAACAUUCAAAUAAACACACAAAUAUAUAACAGCAAAUUGUAACAUGUGGCACAAAAAGGAACAGCAAAGUACCGUGAUACAUGUGAUCGAUGUAAUGGUGUGGAGGUAAGUGCAUAGCUUUAGACAGUGUGGCCAGGGAAGUCUGUUCUGGGUGGUGACCUUUAAGCUGAGACAUGAAAGAUGAGAAGGAAAAGCAGGGAAAGAGCCUCACCAGCAGCAGAAACAAUGUGUGUGAAGGCUCUAAGAAGAAAAGAGCCUGCAUAAGUGUCUCAGGAAUUGAAAGAAGGCCAAACUAAUAACUUUUACUGACCUAACAGUGUCUGUAAAGUGAUUUCAGGCUCAGUCUUGCUGUCAUCUGAAUGUCAACUAUGAGCAUGAUUGCCUAGCUCCAGUUUUUCUUUCUAUAUCUUUUGUGUUUUUUAUUGUGCUACACUGAGCAGCUCACCAUGGACAGCUCACAUCACAUGGUUAUCUGGUAUCCCACGGGUCAGAUAUUUAGUCUUGGGAGCCCAGUAACAAGCCUAGAACUAUUUCUCAGAAGGAUAAUGUUUAUCAGAACGAGAGGAAUAGGCUUUUUUCCCCAAACCCUAAGGUAUUGCCAUGAUUCUUCUCCCUACCAUUGGAUCUUCUGGGUCAUAUGGCCUGAGGUCAGCAUGCCUGGAAGCUCUGGGAUCCAUUCAAAACUACGAGUCACUGACUAAAUUACUCAAACUAGAAAAUUUCAAUAGAGGAUAUGUUGCCUCCUAAAUCCAAAGUGACCCAUGUGUCUCUUUCUCAGUGGUGGAGUGUACAAGAUGAAGCAACUUGCCCUACUUGCCCUUCACCCUGAUAGAAAUAUUGUGACUUGCCCCAGAUGACUGAACUCUGAGCAACUUCGCUAUGAUGUCAGUUUUAAGGAUUUAUCUUCUAUGCUCUGUCAUCUGUUUUUAUCAAGGAAUGUAGAAUAUUUACUACUCACUAAACAUGAAGUCAAAUACCUCAGAGGAAAGAAGGACUCAAACUGUCAUUGUAUAUU